UCUGCGAAGGCGGCUGGACGGAGCGCAAGGGAGGAUGCAGGCAUGAGUAGCGAGAAGACGGUGAGAAUCCGUCUCCCCGGAAGCCUAAGGGUACCUGGGGAAGGGUCGUCCACCCAGGGUAAGCCGGACCUAAGGGGAACCCAAAAGGGGUAACCGAUGGGAAGCCGGUAAAGAUUCCGGCGCCAGGCGUCCGGGAGGUACGAGCGGGGACACAGGAGGAUAGGCUCUGCGAAGAAAUGGGAAAUUCGUCCAAGCCUCGAGCUGUAGAAGCGCGUAGGGAAGGCCGCGCGCGGAGGUAAGGGGUGAAGGGGAGUCCAUCGAAGGGUGGGCAACGGAGCUGAGUUCACACUGUCAAGAAAAGCCGCGCGUACCGGCGAACGGAAGCCUGACCGUUCUAAAAACCGACACAGGUAGGCUAGUUGAGAAGACUAAGGGGAGCGGGAGAACCUCCGCUAAGGAACUAGGCAAAAUGGCCCCGUAACUUCGGGAGAAGGGGCGCUCCUGCGGGUUAAGAGCUAGCGGGAGCUGCAAAGACCGGGCUCUGGCGACUGUUUACCAAAAACACAGGACUCUGCGAACACGAUGAGUGGACGUAUAGGGUCUGACGCCUGCCCAGUGCUGGAAGGUUAAGGGGAGUGGUCAGCGCGAGCGAAGCUACGAACCGAAGCCCCAGUAAACGGCGGCCGUAACUAUAACGGUCCUAAGGUAGCGAAAUUCCUUGUCGGGCAAGUUCCGACCUGCAUGAAUGGCGUAACGAUCGGAGCACUGUCUCAGCGGAGGGCCCGGUGAAAUUCCAAUCUUGGUGAAGAUGCCAAGUUACCCGCGAUUAGACGGAAAGACCCCAUGAAGCUUUACUGUAUCCUAAUAUGGUAUAGUGGUGGAAGGCGUACAGGAUAGGUGGGAGGCAGCGAACGCAGCGCGUCAGCGCUGCGGGAGCCGACGGUGGGAUACCACCCUCCUUCCAGCGUUAUACUAACCGAGGUAGGUGGAGAGCCUAUCAGGGACAGUGUUAGGGGGGCAGUUUGACUGGGGCGGUCGCCUCCAAAAAGGUAACGGAGGCGCGCGAAGGUGGGCUCAGGCUGGUUGGGAAUCAGCUGGCGAGUGCAAGGGCAAAAGCCCGCCUGACAGUGAGAGAGACAUCUCGAGCUGAGACGAAAGUCGGUCCUAAUGACCAGGUGGUGCUGUGUGGAAAGGCCAUCGCUCAACGGACAAAAGCUACUCUGGGGAUAACAGGCUGAUACCGUCCGAGAGUCCAUAUCGACGACGGUGUUUGGCACCUCGAUGUCGGCUCACCGCAUCCUGGGGCUGUAGUCGGUCCCAAGGGUUGGGCUGUCCGCCCAUUAAAGCGGUACGUGAGCUGGGUUCAGAACGUCGUAAGACAGUUCGGUCCCUAUCUGUCGCGGGCGCAGGAUACUUGAGAAGGCUUCUCCCCAGUACGAGAGGACCGGGAGGAGUGGACCGCUGGUGAACCAGUUGUGCUACCAAGCGCAUAAGCUGGGUAUCUAAGUCCAUGAGUGAUAAGCGCUGAAAGCAUCUAAGCGCGAAACAUGCUUCAAGAUGAGGUAUCCCAUCGAAAGAGUAAGGGCCGUUCGAGAACAGGACGUAGAUAGGCCGCAGGUGGAAGCGGCGCGAGCCGUGCAGCCGAGCGGUACUAAUCGCCC
rnacentral:rRNA from 1 species